rnacentral:rRNA from 1 species
CCUACGGGUGGCAGCAGUAGGGAAUCUUCCACAAUGGGCGAAAGCCUGAUGGAGCAACGCCGCGUGGGUGAAGAAGGUCUUCGGAUCGUAAAACCCUGUUGUUAGAGAAGAAAGUGCGUGAGAGUAACUGUUCACGUUUCGACGGUAUCUAACCAGAAAGCCACGGCUAACUACGUGCCAGCAGCCGCGGUAAUACGUAGGUGGCAAGCGUUAUCCGGAUUUAUUUGGCGUAAAGGGAACGCAGGCGGUCUGUUAAGUCUGAUGUGAAAGCCUUCGGCUUAACCGGGGUAGUGCAUUGGAAACUGGGAGAAUUGAGUGCAGAAGAGGAGAGUGGAACUCCAUGUGUAGCGGUGAAAUGCGUAGAUAUAUGGAAGAACACCAGUGGCGAAAGCGGCUCUCUGGUCUGUAACUGACGCUGAGGUUCGAAAGCGUGGGUAGCAAACAGGAUUAGAUACCCCUGUAGUC